rnacentral:rRNA from 1 species
UACGGGGGGAGCAAGCGUUGUUCGGAUUUACUGGGCGUAAAGGGCGCGUAGGCGGUCAGCACAAGUCAGUUGUGAAAUCUCCGGGCUUAACUCGGAAAGGUCAACUGAUACUGUGCGACUAGAGUGCGGAAGGGGCAACUGGAAUUCUCGGUGUAGCGGUGAAAUGCGUAGAUAUCGAGAGGAACACCUGCGGCGAAGGCGGGUUGCUGGGCUGACACUGACGCUGAUGUGCGAAAGCUAGGGGAGCGAACGGG